AGGUAAAAAGCGAAAUAUUGCACCCAGUUUCGACCUGGUUUUUGGUGUUAAAACACCUUUACCUGC
rnacentral:tRNA from 1 species